CCUAAAGAUCCAUGUUCGCGCGACCAUCACUGCAGCUGUGAAGGAAAGUUUGAACAACAAGGAAAAGAAGACAUCCAGUCAUCCUUCCCACGAAGACGACGACAGCACUGAAGAUGAGGGUGAAGAAGGCAGUGGUGACAACAAUGAAAGCAGCACAACGCGAGGCCCAAAGGCAUACUCGCGCACUCGUGGAAGAAAGCUG